UACGAAGGGGGCUAGCGUUGCUCGGAAUCACUGGGCGUAAAGCGCACGUAGGCGGCUUUUUAAGUCAGGGGUGAAAUCCUGGAGCUCAACUCCAGAACUGCCUUUGAUACUGGGAAGCUUGAGUCCGGGAGAGGUGAGUGGAACUCCGAGUGUAGAGGUGAAAUUCGUAGAUAUUCGGAAGAACACCAGUGGCGAAGGCGGCUCACUGGCCCGGUACUGACGCUGAGGUGCGAAAGCCAGGGGAGCAAACGGG
rnacentral:rRNA from 1 species